rnacentral:lncRNA from 1 species
AGUUGAGGAAGGAGGAAGUGGCUUAGAUUCUGCACAUGUUCACUUAGAUUAUGCACAUGUAAGUUUAAUUUGCCUAAAAUAUACAUAGCAAAAGGCGUAAAUUCAUUUUCAACAUUCAUGUGAUGCCUUUUUUUCUUCUUUUUCCAUUUAUGUCUUUUGUUUCUUGACUAAGCCUGGGGUGCUGGAUAGUAAACUAAUGUUCUUUCAGUUCAUAGAUGAAGUUUGCCACCAGAACCUAUAUAUGGAAGCACUCCUUCCAUCUGUCGACGAAAUUGCAGGUAUUUGAUUGCCAGAGUAUAUAAUGAGAUUCUUGCAUAUGCAACUCUGGAAUUGCUUUUCAUAAUUGAGGAAGCUAAGUCCCCACAGUUCAAAUUAAAGAGUGCCUCCCUCCGCUUGUGACGAUGUAUAACUCGAGCAUUAACUCAUGCUCCAAUCUUUUCAAGGAAAAGGGCUAACCCCUCUAUGUUUAAGUUAUGCAUUGAUGGUUGUCCACUACUCAAACAGCGUCAGAGGAAUUACAAAAGAUUGCUCAAACUGCGUCAGAGGAAUUACAUUCAUGUAUAUUCUUGGAUUUCAGUCCUUUGAAGAAGCAAAGGUUCAAGUACAGUUGGUUAGAUCUCAACCCC